GACAUCAUUUCCGGAAUCUCACAUUUCCGGUUUCAUCCUUAUAUCAAAAUACCGCCAUUUUUUAAAACCCAAACACAACUACAAUUCACAGAAUAUGGACAACACUGAAGAGCGCCUAGCUGAAGAGGUCCUGAGGCACGAGCACCUCUACAACCCGUCUUUGAGUACCCACGAACACGUACAGAUGACCGCAAACUCGUGGAGAGAGAUUUCGGCUAGCGUAGGUUUAGAUGUGCAAGAGUGCAUCGAGGGAUGGGGGAAGAUGGUGGACGAAUAUGUUUUCUUUCACCAGAUGUCGUGGUUGGACCCAUACAUAGAAGAUAGUGAGACGUCGUCAAACUACGACAACAAGACGGAGUCAUUAUCCAGUGAGGGGAUCCAUUCAUCCUCCCCCGAGUCAUCCACCUCAGCACCUGAGGACUCCCCCGAGUCAUCCACCUUGGUCAUACCGCCAGCUCAUCGUUCACGAAAGAGGAGAAGACGGAUGGAGCCAGACCAGAGUUCCAUCGCCGAUGUGUUCUCCAUGUCCGUGGGGCGCAGGAUACAACUGUACAGGAGCUUUGCGAAUGUGGUACCCUGUCCAUCACCACCACUAGACCAAUGCGCUUUGUUUGGGCAAAUUGUCGGUUGUCUGGCAAAGAAGCUGCCCAAAGACAGGCGACGGGCAAUAAUGUGCCAGGUAUACAGCCUGCUGAUUAAGAACCAGUCUGACUAUGUGCCUUAUUUGCAAGUUAAUGCAAUUUGUAAAUAGUUUGUGUAUUUGGCACCAUGUUGUUUUAUAUUUCUUAUUUUGCACCUAGUUUGUACUUUUCUUCUGCACCUUGUUUAUUAUAUUACUUAUUUUGCACAUUGUUUGUUCUACUACUUAUUUUGCACAUUAUUGUUUGUAUAUAGAAAUAAAACACAACAUUAACAGUUGGGGAUUUUUUUAUUUACAUGGCUAAAAGUCAGCAUCAAUUCAUUUCUCACACCUAUAGGAGUUCAUACAGCCUACAGUUUAAACAACAGGGCUGAUCAUAUGCCAAGACACUCUGCUGCUUCUUUGCACUUUGUAAAUAGUACUCUAGUAUUAUAACUUACAAGGGAAUGGUUGGACCAAGGCACUCUUCUUUUCAAGAAAACGCUUUAAUGAAGAUGCUAGUUCAUAUUAGAACUCUACAAACACUUUAUGCCAAUCAUUUUCUAAUUUCCUAUUUUUUUUUACCAAAGAGUACCUUCACCGUAUUUAAGAGAUUUACUCUAUUAGAAGAAUGAAGUAGCCCUCCAAACUAUCCAUCUAAGUGCUCUAGUAUUGUUUGAAGAGUUUGUGUUUUGCACUGUGUUUGUAUGCAAAGUAAUGACAAAAUAAAACACCAAAUAGGUUUUGAAACAGUGGGGAUUGUUAUUUACAUGGCUAAAAGUCAGCGUAACAGCCAGGUCAUCAGGUGUGAAAGAAUAUGCUGUUUGAGGCUUGAACAGGGCUAUGGCCAUAUGGAUGCAAAUGCCUGUGGCUUCAACCAUCUUGUCGUGGCUGUAAACAAAAGCCAACUAUCAGGUUCUAAUAGCUCUAUCUCCGAAAACACAGAAGCCAGGAACCAUGUCUGAUGACUCUACAUAGUCAAAGGCCAGGAGCCAAGCUGAUAUGUGAGAUUAUGGUUAAAUGUAUGAAAUUCACCCAAAUGUAACAGGUAAGAUCAUCAGGUCGUUAUCAGGUCAUCUGGGGUCAAGUGCCACAGGAC
ensembl:lncRNA